CUGAUGUCACCUGGGCCUACGACACCCCUCUGCCCUGCUGUCGCACAGCAAGCCAGAUGCUGUACCUUUUGGAGGAGCUCUUUUCUGUCCUGCCAACCCUAUUCCAUGGUCGUGCUCGUCUUUCUUGGUGGCAUCCUGAGAGGUAAAAUCUCUUUUCCUCCUGUGGUGGCUGCCCCAGUAAAACGCUGUCCAGGCUGCAGAGAAGUGGAGGAGUUACAGCAUAAAGCUACAGUGUUUGCUUCCAAGAAAACACAUCUGAAAAGUAUUUGUCUGCAAUAUCAGCUGUAUCUUCUUCUGAACAGCCAUUUCUUUUGCCUUUUAAAGAAUGAGAUGGGACUAAUCAUCUUCUUCCUAUGUGCUUAUGUACCAAAGACAGCAGCAGGUCAUUGCAAGUGGGCGGAAGUUCUGAAAGAUUUGGAGCAGAUCAAGACAUCCAAAGACAUUGAUGUCAGUUUAUAUACUGCAAACACAGAUGAGGGUAAAGAAUGCCAAGAACCUGUAAUGAGAUGCUUUUUCUUAGAGACAGAAGUGAUUCUGCAAGAAUGUCUUAUCAAAAAUUGUAGUAAAACACAGGAUGUAUGGAACAUAUGGAAAAAUGGAAACGCAAGCUUAGAAAAUAACAAGUUGAAUUCCAAAACAUCAGCAAAAUGCAAAGAAUGUGAAGAGUAUGAAGAAAAAAAUUUUACAGAAUUUAUACAGAGUUUUGUAAAGGUUAUACAGAAGGAAUGCAAACACUGACCAAAUGACACAAGCUGGGAACCAAGAUUCUUCCACGAACAUCCUCAGAGAAAUUAGAUUAUCACCAACAAUAAACUGGAAAGAACAUCACUUACAAUCCUACUUACAUAGCAUAACACGUAAACAAAGAAUAAUAAAAUCCCUGUAAUUCACAAUGUAUUCAUAACUGAAUACAUACAAAUGAUAAUACUUAGGAAAUAUAAAUGAAAGGAAUUUAACAGUGUUUAAAGCUCCUUCUUGACUUAAAGUAAGUCUUUUGGUAAGUCCACCAGAAAAGAAAUCCUGCCUAAUUUACCAACCUUUCAACAAAAUUCUCUAAGAAGAUCUCAGGGUAUCUGCAGUAGGAACCUCCUCAUGAACAUCAGUUCAGGGCUAACUGAAUGGGGUUUCAGAGAAAAGCUCUUCUUUUAUUAUUAUUAAUAUAAAAUUAUCAUAACCUUUUAAAGUAUUUGGCUAUAGCUAUUUUUGUUAUCUGAAAUCUAUCCCUUUACCAUCUGUGCUCCUAGAAGAUCCUAGCUCAUCUCUCACUUCUGUUGUUAGUCAUGUCUGACAGUUUUCCUUGCAAUUUUUUUUUCUUAUUAACAUUCCUUCAACGAACUAAUGUCAAACCACAAGCUGAGGCCUAUUUGUCUCAAAGAUCUAUUGUCUAUCUCUUAAUAUAUUUAUUUCUACUAUGGUUUUCAGGUAAACCCAAUUACUUCUUUUACCUAAGAAUUUAAAGUCAAAAGUUAGAAUAUUUCUUUAAAGAUUCUUCCUUACAUUUUUUUCCUUUUGUACAAUGGUAGCAUAAGGGCAUUAAAAAUUACCUCCAGUCUUCUCAACAGAAGGUAAUGCUGGUGCUUGGUUCCAUUGUCCAAUGACAGAACAUGCUUUGUUGCUUGGUUUGCUACCUCUGACACAGACACUACCUUAGUCAUUAUGGUAAUUACUACAGUUCCUUUAGCAAUUACCAAAGAUUUCAAUCUAAAUUUCAACCAAAGAAAAGUAGUGUAAAUUUCAUUCUCUGAAUAAAGGAGGUGACCAAAUCUCUUUCACACACCACAUCGCUUACACAUUUCUUAGGUAGAAAUCUUUCCUAUGUAGGAGAGUUUGUAACUUUGGUCUCCUUUUGGGGCAAGAACUUUGAAGGCAGGAAUCACUUUUGACCAGUUAUGGGAAAUCAUGAUAACUGUAUUUCUAAGACUCAAUGCCUCACCUGUCCCCUGUUAGUUCUGAAAUGUUGCAUAGUCUUUCAGCUCUUUCUAAAGUAACUGCUUUCUUCACGAUUCAUAACCAUGUCAUACCAACUGCUAUCUAUAAUAAGUAAUUCUUUCCUCCAGGCACCUCCAUUUCUCCAUCUUCAUUUGUGUGCUGGUUUUGGCUGGGAUAGAGUUACUUUUCUUCAUAGUAGCUAGUAUGGGGCUAUGUUUUGGAUUUGUGCUGGAAACAGUGCUGAUAACACAGGGAUGUUUUAGUUAUUGCUGAGCAGUGCUCACACAGAGCCAAGGGCUUUUCUGCUCCUCACCCCACACCACCCGCGAGCAGGCUGGGGGGGGCACAAGGAGUUGGGAGGGGACACAGCUGGGACAGCUGACCCCAACUGACCCAAGGGAUAUUCCAGACCAUAUGACAUCGCGCUCAGGAUAUAAAGCUGGGGGAAGAAGGAAGGGGGGGACGUUUGGAGUGAUGGAGUUUGUCUUCCCAAGUAACCGUUAGGCGUGAUGGAGCCCUGUUUUCCUGGAGAUGGCUGAACACCUGCCUGCCCAUGGGAAGUGGUGAAUGAAUUCCUUGUUUUGCUUUGCUUGUGUGCACAGCUUUUGCUUUACCUAUUAAACUGUCUUUAUCUCAGCCCACGAGUUUUCUCACUUUUACUCCUCCCAUUCUCUCCCCCAUCCCACUGGGGAGGAGUGAGCGAGCGGCUGUGUGGGGCUUAGUUGCUGGCUGGGGUUAAACCACGACAGUUUGAUAACUGGCUGAGUCAUCCAACUGUCUGCUUACCAGGAAGGAAGUCUCAGUCUCGUUAUGGCAACAAAUACACUGCCUGGUACUCUCUUAUUGCUGGGUUACUCCCAACAGUCAAUCUUCAGCACUCUUAGGAGCUGAAUCUCCAGUAAACUACAAGAGAAAGAACACGACUGUGAGCACAGUGGAUGUCAUCUUCCAGGUGACUUAUAGACUGAUUGGUAAAUUCAUAAGUGCAUUGAUAUCGGGAUUAAAUACUGGCAGAGGUAUCACAGAAGAAAUAAAUUCUUUGCCACUGCAAAACAUCAAUGAAAGAAGUGUUUAUGACAUAGUUUGAAGUAAACUGGUCCUACAUUCUAAAUUUUUCCUUAAAACAAUGGUAUGCAUUGAAUAUGAUUUUCUCUUACCUGAUGUCACAUGCACAGGCAAAGUAAAACCAAGUUACAACUGUGGUCUUUAAUCAAAGAGAUAAAGGAAUUUUCCUUAUUUCUAGCUUUGAGGGAGCUUGAGACACAGUCCAGCAGUAUUCAUGAUGGGAGAAAUGAAACAGCUCUUUUGCUCAGGUAGUUUUCUUUACCUUGGCCAUUGUGAAAAUCAGUUACCUGAUUAAUUUUAUUCUGUUUUUCAUUAAAUCAUUUACCAGUGGCAAGUAUGUUAAAUACUAUGAAUUUGUCUUUCCCAAAUCAUAUCGCUAAUUCUGUGGCCACUCAGCUUGCCACCCUGUUAGCCACUUCCUGUUGGACAUUGGCCAUAUCUCUUUUAUUUCAUUUCACCUCUACCUGUUCCAGAUGCAUAUUCUAGAACCAAAAAAGGCCUUUUGCUUAUCUAGUGCUCCAGUAUUUCUCCUGGGGUUUUCCUUUUUCUGAGAGCUAAGCUGCCAGUUGAAAGCUUUACUACAUCCUGAAUCCUGUGGUUAUAAGAAGUGAUCUGAUCUGUAUAAAGGAUGGACUAAAUUAAGACCAGGUUGGUAUUCUUUUUUUUAGUGAGGGAAUUCAUACAUAUCCUGGAGGAAAAGAUUCAAUACGACUAAGACAUGCAUGAAUCUGAUCUGACUUGUUAGUACUGCUGGCAGAACAGUAAAAAACUAAUUGAGGGUGCCUACUUUUGAAGUAAGCAUCCCUAGGUUGAGGAAGGUAUUUCUUCUACACAAGGUCUAGUAAUUUGUGUGGCAUUUACUAUCUAAUCUUUUCCAACUACUGUUGGUAAAAGCUAAGAGAGAGAUUAAUAUUGUAUUUUCUCCAAUUAAUCCAACUCAGUUUGGGACUAAGGUGACUCAUAGCAGAGUGUUUCUAUGUUCAGAAAGAAAAAUAACUAUGUUUUGACACCAGAAGAGAAUAAUAAUGCUCUUCCACAGAAGUUUUGGACUACAUAAUUCUGUGUUCCUGACUUUGCAAUAAUUUAAAAUCUAUUUUUCCUUUCCUUUCCCGGUAUUCAGUAUCCGUAUUUCUGUGUAUAUUUUAACAGGAUAAUGCAAGUAGCACUAGUGCAGGUGAUGUCUGACAUCUUCUGCCUUUUUGUUCUUUUAUGAGACCCUGAAGAUAAAUAUCGGUUGCUUAUCCAUGGAACGUUGUGGCUCCGAAUAUUUGAGCACCUGUUGAUCAGGCAUCAAAGGGGGCUUUUGGAAAACUUUGGAAAUUCCCAUCCUGAGUCACUGACCCAAGGUCAUGAUGGGAUGUCUUGGCAGGAGGAUUAAGAAUGUGAGAAUGAACUAGCUGCUGAGAACAAGUGGAUGAAGCAAAAGCAAGAGAUACAAUCUUCAUUGUAUCCUCAAGUCAGUAUUGGUAUUCUUGAGAAUAGAAAUAGUAUUAAUUUUUAUCCAAAGUGGCCUUCACUUGCAGCUCAUCUAUAUGAAGGUGUACCUUACUAACGAUAGAAACAGCACUGCAUACCAGAAUUUCUGUACAACAUCAGAAGACUGAUCAACAUGACACUAAGCCAUACUUAAAAGGAAACUAUUCUGUAGUGUGUAAAGAGCUACACCUUCUCUAGAGGCAGAGAAAGAGCAAUUAAACUUUGCUACUAUGCUCUCUAUGGAAUAUUACAUGCACUUAAGGAGGAAAAGAAAGCCAUAAAUGAGUAGGUUAUGUAUUUUGCAAUAAGAAGAUCAAAUCAGCAUCUCUAAGCUGUUUCCUUCCAACUAUUUUCCUCCAAAACCUGGAAAUGUUGGAGAAUUCUCAUCUCCUCAUCAAAAGGCUUAAUUAGGCCAAUAAUCAACACCUUAAAGACAGACAUAAAGAAAUAAAAAUCUUCCAAAACCUCA